UGCAGUCGCACGCAGCARGCUUGCUUGGCUGCGUGGCGCACGGCUGAGGAACACSUGGGUAAUCUGCCCCGGAGUGGGGGAUAACUGCGCGAAAGCGGAGCUAAUCCCGCAUACGCUCGCAAGAGGAAAGCGGUAACGCGCUCCGGGAUGAGCCUGCGGCCCAUCAGGUAGUUGGUAAGGUAAUGGCUUACCAAGCCGGUGACGGGUACCUGGUCUGAGAGGACGACCAGGCAGACUGGGACUGAGACACGGCCCASACUCCCACGGGAGGCAGCAGCAAGGAWUUUUCCCCAAUGGGCGAGAGCCUGAGGGAGCAACGCCGCGUGGGGGAUGACGGCCUUCGGGUUGUAAACCCCUUUUGCUGGGGAAGAUAAUGACGGUACCCAGCGAAUAAGCCCCGGCUAACUCCGUGCCAGCAGCCGCGGUAAGACGGAGGGGGCAAGCGUUGUCCGGACUCACUGGGCGUAAAGAGCACGUAGGUGGUGGUCUGCGUCGGUGCUGAAAGCGCCAGGCUUAACCUGGCGAGGCGUGCCGAUACGAGACAACUAGAGGCAGGCAGAGGGUGGCGGAAUUCCGGGUGUAGUGGUGAAAUGCGUAGAGAUCCGGAGGAACGCCUGUGGCGAAAGCGGCCACCUGGGCCUGACCUGACACUGAGGUGCGAAAGCGUGGGGAGCGAACCGGAUUAGAUACCCGGGUAGUCCA
rnacentral:rRNA from 1 species